GGGAGCUUUUGCACAGGUGCUGCAUGGCUGUCGUCAGCUCGUGUCGUGAGAUGUCAGGUUAAGUCCUAUAACGAGCGCAACCCCUAUUGUUAGUUGCCAGCGGGUCAUGCCGGGAACUCUAACAAGACUGCCAGUGCAAACUGUGAGGAAGGUGGGGAUGACGUCAAAUCAUCACGGCCCUUACGUCCUGGGCUACACACGUGCUACAAUGGGCGGUACAGAGAGCAGCCACUACGCAAGUAGGCGCGAAUCUUCAAAACCGUUCUCAGUUCGGAUCGGAGUCUGCAACUCGACUCCGUGAAGCUGGAUUCGCUAGUAAUCGCAUAUCAGCCAUGAUGCGGUGAAUACGUUCCCGGGCCUUGUACACACCGCCCGUCAAGCCAUGGAAGCUGGGGGUACCUGAAGUCGGUGACCGCAAGGAGCUGCCUAGGGUAAAACUGGUAACUGGGGCUAAGUCGUAACAAGGUA
rnacentral:rRNA from 1 species